GAGUAUGUGAAUAUUGAUGAUAACCUAGAUCAAAGCUCAACUAUCACCUACGCUAUACUGACUGCAGGUAUCCUGGCUAUACUGGUUUGGAUAAUAACAAUGGUGGAGCUAUACAUUGUGUGUAAAAACUUUGGCAAUGGACUUAAAGAGAUUGCAUUUGAAACAGCAAUAUCAGAAUCAACAAGUUUGAUCACAGGAAGAAAACAGCGACUUAAUAAACAACCAGUUUGAAAAAAGUGACAAUCAUGAAAUGAAAGCUGUGACAUCAGAAUCCACCCCUUUGAUCAUGGGACAACAGCUGUGGUAUAAUCAUACAUCAGUUUCACGAUAG